UGUUUCGGCAAGGGGGUCAUCCCGACUUACCAACCCGAUGCAAACUGCGAAUACCGGAGAAUGUUAUCACGGGAGACACACGGCGGGUGCUAACGUCCGUCGUGAAGAGGGAAACAACCCAGACCGCCAGCUAAGGUCCCAAAGUCAUGGUUAAGUGGGAAACGAUGUGGGAAGGCCCAGACAGCCAGGAUGUUGGCUUAGAAGCAGCCAUCAUUUAAAGAAAGCGUAAUAGCUCACUGGUCGAGUCGGCCUGCGCGGAAGAUGUAACGGGGCUAAACCAUGCACCGAAGCUGCGGCAGCGACGCUUAUGCGUUGUUGGGUAGGGGAGCGUUCUGUAAGCCUGUGAAGGUGUGCUGUGAGGCAUGCUGGAGGUAUCAGAAGUGCGAAUGCUGACAUAAGUAACGAUAAAGCGGGUGAAAAGCCCGCUCGCCGGAAGACCAAGGGUUCCUGUCCAACGUUAAUCGGGGCAGGGUGAGUCGACCCCUAAGGCGAGGCCGAAAGGCGUAGUCGAUGGGAAACAGGUUAAUAUUCCUGUACUUGGUGUUACUGCGAAGGGGGGACGGAGAAGGCUAUGUUGGCCGGGCGACGGUUGUCCCGGUUUAAGCGUGUAGGCUGGUUUUCCAGGCAAAUCCGGAAAAUCAAGGCUGAGGCGUGAUGACGAGGCACUACGGUGCUGAAGCAACAAAUGCCCUGCUUCCAGGAAAAGCCUCUAAGCAUCAGGUAACAUCAAAUCGUACCCCAAACCGACACAGGUGGUCAGGUAGAGAAUACCAAGGCGCUUGAGAGAACUCGGGUGAAGGAACUAGGCAAAAUGGUGCCGUAACUUCGGGAGAAGGCACGCUGAUAUGUAGGUGAAGCGACUUGCUCGUGGAGCUGAAAUCAGUCGAAGAUACCAGCUGGCUGCAACUGUUUAUUAAAAACACAGCACUGUGCAAACACGAAAGUGGACGUAUACGGUGUGACGCCUGCCCGGUGCCGGAAGGUUAAUUGAUGGGGUCAGCGCAAGCGAAGCUCUUGAUCGAAGCCCCGGUAAACGGCGGCCGUAACUAUAACGGUCCUAAGGUAGCGAAAUUCCUUGUCGGGUAAGUUCCGACCUGCACGAAUGGCGUAAUGAUGGCCAGGCUGUCUCCACCCGAGACUCAGUGAAAUUGAACUCGCUGUGAAGAUGCAGUGUACCCGCGGCAAGACGGAAAGACCCCGUGAACCUUUACUAUAGCUUGACACUGAACAUUGAGCCUUGAUGUGUAGGAUAGGUGGGAGGCUUUGAAGUGUGGACGCCAGUCUGCAUGGAGCCGACCUUGAAAUACCACCCUU
rnacentral:rRNA from 1 species